rnacentral:rRNA from 1 species
CUACGGGAGGCACCAGUGAGGAAUAUUGCACAAUGGGGGGAACCCUGAUGCAGCAACGCCGCGUGGAGGAUGACGCAUUUCGGUGUGUAAACUCCUUUUAUAUGUCAAGAAAAUGACGGUAGCAUAUGAAUAAGCACCGGCUAACUCCGUGCCAGCAGCCGCGGUAAUACGGAGGGUGCAAGCGUUACUCGGAAUCACUGGGCGUAAAGGACGCGUAGGCGGGUUGGAAAGUCAGGUGUGAAAUCCUACAGCUUAACUGUAGAACUGCACUUGAAACUUCUAAUCUAGAGUAUGGGAGGGGGAGAUGGAAUUAGUGGUGUAGGGGUAAAAUCCGUAGAUAUCACUAGGAAUACCUAAAGCGAAGGCGAUCGCCUGGAGCAUUACUGACGCUAAGGCGUGAAAGCGUGGGGAGCAAACAGGAUUAGAUACCCUUGUAGUC